GGGAAAUGAGGAUAGGUGGGACCCCAAAACUCCCUCAGGAUUGAGUAAGUGGCUCAGUGUCUAAAAGGAAGGAAAUGGAUCGUGCCAUACUGUAAUGGCUACCCUAGGUUCCCUCUGAGCCCACUGCCACGCCU